UAACGGCGAGUGAAGCGGCAACAGCUCAAAUUUGAAAUCUGGCGCAAGCCCGAGUUGUAAUUUGUAGAGGAUGCUUCUGGGUAGCGACCGAUCUAAGUUCCUUGGAACAGGACGUCAUAGAGGGUGAGAAUCCCGUAUUGACCGGCCCGCACCCUUUACGUAGCUCCUUCGACGAGUCGAGUUGUUUGGGAAUGCAGCUCUAAAUGGGAGGUAAAUUUCUUCUAAAGCUAAAUACCGGCCAGAGACCGAUAGCGCACAAGUAGAGUGAUCGAAAGAUGAAAAGUACUUUGGAAAGAGAGUUAAAAAGCACGUGAAAUUGUUGAAAGGGAAGCGCCUGCAACCAGACUUCGCGGCAGUGUUCCGCCGGUCUUCUGACCGGUUCAUUCUCUGUCGCGAGGCCAUCAUCGUCUGGGCCCGCCGGAUAAGACCUUAGGAAAUGUAGCUCACCUUCGGGGGAGUGUUAUAGCCUAGGGUGAUGCGGCGAGGCUCGGGCGAGGUCCGCGCUUCGGCAAGGAUGAUGGCGUAAUGGUUGUCGGCGGCCCGUCUUGAAACACGGACCAAGGAGUCUAACAUCUAUGCGAGUGUUCGGGUGUCAAACCCCUACGCGUAAUGAAAGUGAACGGAGGUGGGAACCGCAAGGUGCACCAUCGACCGAUCCUGAUGUCCUCGGAUGGAUUUGAGUAAGAGCAUAGCUGUUGGGACCCGAAAGAUGGUGAACUAUGCCUGAAUAGGGUGAAGCCAGAGGAAACUCUGGUGGAGGCUCGCAGCGGUUCUGACGUGCAAAUCGAUCGUCAAAUUUGGGUAUAGGGGCGAAAGACUAAUCGAACCAUCUAGUAGCUGGUCU
rnacentral:rRNA from 1 species